rnacentral:tRNA from 1 species
AUGCAAGUCACACCCCCAAUACACAGCAAAACUCAAUGCCAGGUAUCACCUGGAACUCAUGUUGCAGGCCUUGCCCCCCAUGGGGUUAGAAGAGCCACCCACCACAUGUGCAGGAGUGCCUUGAUCAUCCGGGGCCAAGUCCAGCCCACCGUCUGUGCUUGUGAAAUUGCAGGAGAGCCUACACCGGGCAACUCCACCCCGCGGGGAUUUUUAUUAAGGACCGUAAUCACCAAAUCAUCCGCUGCCCCACCAGCCACAGGCUCCGGGCCCACCCCUUCAAAGGGGAUUUUUGCCAUGUUCACAGCCCACACACAUGAUCCCAAAUACUUUAUAAGCUCUGGUGAACGCUGUGGUAAAUCUGCAGGAGAAUCAGCGGUUAGCAGCACAUCAGAGGACACAGACUUUACAGUACACUUCCACAAAAGUGGAGACCAUCUACUGAUUUCGAACCCUGUUUCUCAAAGUGUGGUCCCCAGACCGGCAGCAUCACCAUCUCCUGGAUAGAAAUGCACAACAAACCUCACCUCAGCCCCACCAAAUCAAAGUCCCAGGAAUCACCAACUUAAUGCAGAAUAAAGCUAGAAAUCAAACAACCAUAUCUCAAAGGGAUAAUGUUCCUCCAAUGCUCACAGGCUGCCCACUUCUCCCCAGGAGCCUCCAGACAACCCCAGCAGUGGAGCUAGGACAAGAGGAAUCCCAUAAUAAUCGCAUGGAAAUUUCAUAUAAAAAUGUGUUACAGUUUUAAAUGAAUUUGAAUAGUAGUUAGAGCUUACUUUAUUCCUCCUUAAGACCUAUCCUAUAAAUCUGUUGAGACUGUUCUUAUUGUAUUUAUUUUUAAUAACUUUAUUUAUUUAAUUAAUUUUUUGGCUUCAUGGCAUGUAGGAUCUUAGUUCUCCAAUCAGGGAUUGAACCUGAGCCCCUGCAGUGGAAGCAGGGAGUCUUAACCACUGGACCAACAGAGAAUUCCCUACUGAGGCCCUUUUUAUAUGAGUCUCAGAAAGAUGAUUUCUUUGUCUUCUGGGUUUUGAUAUUAUCCCUGGAAAACAAAAUAACAACAACGAAUACACAAAGGGUGUGUCUGUGUUGUAUAUUUCUUGAGC